rnacentral:rRNA from 1 species
CCUACGGGAGGCAGCAGUAGGGAAUCUUUCACAAUGGGUGAAAGCCUGAUGGAGCAACGCCGCGUGCAGGAUGAAGGCCUUCGGGUUGUAAACUGCUUUUAUAAGCGAGAAAUAUGAUGGUAACUUAUGAAUAAGGAUCGGCUAACUACGUGCCAGCAGCCGCGGUCAUACGUAGGAUCCGAGCAUUAUCCGGAGUGACUGGGUGUAAAGAGUUGCGUAGGUGGCAUAAUAAGUAGCUAGUGAAAUCUGGUGGCUCAACCAUUCAGACUAUUGGCUAAACUGUUAAGCUCGAGACCGUUAGGGGUAACUGGAAUUUCUAGUGUAGGAGUGAAAUCCGUAGAUAUUAGAAGGAACACCAAUAGCGUAGGCAGGUUGCUGGGACGGUUCUGACACUAAGGCACGAAAGCGUAGGGAGCAAACGGGAUUAGAUACCCCAGUAGUC